UAGGAUCAAUUGGCUCAGGUGUGGCUCGGAGAGUAAUUACGGGCGGUGGCCUCUUGGGGCACUAUAAAAAACCUUAGGCGGUCACUGGCAGGGUGUGCAGCAUUUGGCCACUGGGACCGCCCACUUCCAAUUGUAUACAUCCGGUUUGGCCUCACUGGUAAGGUAGCGGUGGUAGCCUGUUGACAGUGUGUCGUCGGCUUUCAUGAUUUUAUACUGGUUUCAGCGCCGGAUACUCGCGGCCAAAGGGUGAGCUCUUGCAGCUCUGCGGAUAGCGCGGCUUAGUGCUUUUUGAUUACCAGGUGCUGAACAGAAGGAGCCUUGGGACUUUCUAACGCUCCCAAGAGUGGAACAGCUGCUGUUUUUUAUACGCUGUUUUGUUAUACGUGGCUUUUAUACUGAUUUUAUCAGAACCUUUUAUUGAUCUUGCGUGGAAAGGGAUCCGGUUUGGAAUUCAAGGAGGGUUUGUCUGGAGUGCCCGCCGACGGAAAUUCGCCAGGGAGGCGAUCGGGACAUUUUAGGGCCUGGACUCCCCUCAUCUACCCCAAAGCAAAGAUGAGCGGCACUCACGGCACGGUGCAGCAUCCGAGUGAACGGCUGACCCCCGCCUGAGUAGCCAACUGGUGUUUUAUUUUAAUCUUGUAUUUUUAGGGUUGGUUCUGGGUCACCGAACUGCUGGGACCCGUUGUUAUUAGUUUGUUUUUAGACGAAGUAUUUAAUUGUUGUCCCCAACUUUUUAUUGACCCUGUUUUGUUUUGUUACCAGCACUGAGGACCCAGACGUCAGUCUUGUGUGUAAGGUGGAGGCCUUCCCCGGUUUGGAGUGGCGUGUCUUCGGGUGAAGGGUUCACCGUGUGAGUGUUUUUAUCUUAUAAGUUGACAUUUUAUUUAGGAGGCUCCACCUCGCCUAGUUAAAAAAAAAGGGUCCUCAGCCCAGUGAACAGGUGUCUGUGGUCCCCAUCUUCUUAACUUCUUCAUUUUAAAUGGUUUUAGGAUUUUGCAAAUAAAUUAUAUUUUAACCUUGAUUCCUCCGUCUCUUGCUUUGUGCGCCUCCAUUGCAA